AUGUAGUGUAGCAUGCCCGUUUGGUGCUUAACUCUGAUGAUUAUGUUAUAUUUAUUUAUAUUUAGGUAGCGGGGUGUUACGGUAUA
rnacentral:pre_miRNA from 1 species